rnacentral:lncRNA from 1 species
UUUUUUUUUUUUAAAUGAUUUCCUUUGCUGUGCAAAAGCUUUUGAGUUUGAUUAGUUCCCAUUGCUUUAUUGUCAUUAUUCUAGAAGGUGGAUCAAACAAGAUGUUGCUGUGAUUUAAGUCAAAAAGCAUUCUGCCUAUGUUUUCCUCUAGUUUAAUAGUAUCUGGCCUUAUAUUUAGGUCUUGAAUCCAUUGUGAGUUUAUUUUUGUGUAUGGUGUUAGAUAGUGCUCUAUUUUCAUUCUUUUACAUGUAGCUGUCCAGUUUGCCCAGCACCAUUUAUUGAAGAGACUAUUUUUCUUCCACUGUAUGUCCUUGCCGCCUUUGUCAUAGACUAACUGACCAUAGGUGCUUGAGAAUAGCAUUUUUCCCCUAUAUUCACAAUAAGCAAUUCAAAGUUGAGUUCCCGUCGUGGCGCAGUGGUUAACGAAUCCGACUAGGAACCAUGAGGUUGCGGGUUCGAUCCCUGGCCUUGCUCAGUGGGUUAAGGAUCCGGCGUUGCCGUGAGCUGUGGUGUAGGUUGCAGACGCGGCUCAGAUCCCUCGUUGCUGUGGCUCUGGCGUAGGCCAGUGGCUACGGCUCCGAUUCGACCCCUAGCCUGGGAACCACCAUAUGCCGCAGGAGCGGCCCAAGAAAUAGCUAAAAAGACAAAAAAAAAAAGUCUUACUAAAGAACAUAAAUCAAGGUCUGAAGAAAUUGUAUAGUCUUGAAUGGGAAGACAAUAUCAUGAAAUAUCAAUUCCCCCAAAUUAACAUUUUAAUGUAAUACCACUAAUUUGAAAUUCAACUAGGUGAGGUUUUGAAAUCAAAAUUGGACUAAGUGAUUUUAAGGUUCAAAUGAAAGAGAAAUGAUGUUAAUUCAUAGAGUAGAAUUGAGUCCAGAAGUAGAGUCUAGUAUGUAACAAGUUAAUACAUGAAAAAGUUAUAUUUCAGUAAGAAAGAAUGUUACUUGGUAAAGGCUGGCACAGCUCUCCAUCUGAAGAAAAUGAAAGUACAACCCAUACAAUCGCACAAAAAGCAAAUUCCAGAUAUAUUAAAUUUUUUUAAUUUUAAUUAAAUAUAAAGUGAAACAAAAAGAAAUCUAAGAGACUGGAAGUAUAGUCAGGAGAGAGGGAAGACCUUAGCCAAUUCAAGUAAUUUAAAAGGUGUUUUAUAGAGUUCCUGUUGUGGCUCGGUAGAAACGAACCCAACUAAGAUCCAUGAGGAUGUGAGUUCCAUUCCUGGCCUCGAUUAGUGGGUUAAGGAUCUGGCGUUGCCAUGAGCUGUGGUGUAGGCUGCAGACUUGGCUCAGAUCUGGCGUUGCUGCCUGGCAGCUGCAGCUCCACUUCAACCCCUCGCCGGGAACUUCCAUAUGCUGUGGGUGUGGCC